GCGGAGGGAUCAUUACCGAGUUAUUCAACUCAUCAACCCUGUGAACUUACCUAAACGUUGCUUCGGCGGGAACAGACGGCCCCGUGAAACGGGCCGCCCCCGCCAGAGGACCCCUAACUCUGUUUCUAUAAUGUUUCUUCUGAGUAAAACAAGCAAAUAAAUUAAAACUUUCAACAACGGAUCUCUUGGCUCUGGCAUCGAUGAAGAACGCAGCGAAAUGCGAUAAGUAAUGUGAAUUGCAGAAUUCAGUGAAUCAUCGAAUCUUUGAACGCACAUUGCGCCCGCCAGUAUUCUGGCGGGCAUGCCUGUUCGAGCGUCAUUACAACCCUCAGGCCCCCGGGCCUGGCGUUGGGGAUCGGCGGAGCCCCCCGUGGGCACACGCCGUCCCCCAAAUACAGUGGCGGUCCCGCCGCAGCUUCCAUCGCGUAGUAGCUAACACCUCGCGACUGGAGAGCGGCGCGGCCACGCCGUAAAACACCCAACUCUUCUGAAGUUGACCUCGAAUCAGGUAGGAAUACCCGCUGAACUUAAGCAUAUC
rnacentral:rRNA from 1 species